rnacentral:rRNA from 1 species
GGUUAACGCUGGCGGCGUGCCUAACACAUGCAAGUCGAACGGUUCUAAGCGCGAGCUUAGGAUAGUGGCGAACGGGUGAGUAAAAGGUAGGAAUCUACCCCUUGGACGGAGAUAGCUACUGGAAACGGUAGGUAAACUUCGAUAAGCCCGAGAGGGGAAAGUGGUGAGACAGCCGAGGGAUGAGCCUACUCUCCAUCAGGUAGUUGGUGAGAUAAAAGCUUACCAAGCCGAUGACGGAUAACCGGUGUGAGAGCAUGAACGGUCACAAGGGCACUGAGAGACGGGCCCUACUCCUACGGGAGGCAGCAGUGGGGAAUCUUGGACAAUGGGCGAAAGCCUGAUCCAGCGACGCCGCGUGGAGGAAGAAGUCCUUCGGGAUGUAAACUUCUGAACUAGCCGAAUAAAAGGCCUGUGGACACACAGGAGAAGAAAGUAGGCUAGGAAAGUACCCGGCUAACUACGUGCCAGCAGCCGCGGUAAGAUAGCGUACU